CCUACGGGUGGCAGCAGUGAGGAAUAUUGGUCAAUGGUCGGGAGCCUGAACCAGCCAAGCCGCGUGAGGGAUGAAGGUACAGAGUAUCGUAAACCUCUUUUGUCAGGGAACAAAGGCGGGGACGUGUCCCCGGAUGAGUGUACCUGAAGAAAACGCAUCGGCUAACUCCGUGCCAGCAGCCGCGGUAAUACGGAGGGUGCGAGCGUUAUCCGGAUUUAUUGGGUUAAAGGGGUGCGCAGGCGGUCUGUUAAGUCAGAGGUCAAACCCCGGGGCUCAACCCCGGCCCGCCGUUGAAACUGGCAGUCUCGAGUUGGAGAGAAGUAUGCGGAAUGCGCGGUGUAGCGGUGAAAUGCAUAGAUAUCGCGCAGAACUCCGAUUGCGAAGGCAGCAUGCCGGCUCCACACUGACGCUGAGGCACGAAAGCGUGGGUAUCGAACAGGAUUAGAUACCCCUGUAGUC
rnacentral:rRNA from 1 species